rnacentral:rRNA from 1 species
UACGAAGGGGGCUAGCGUUGCUCGGAAUCACUGGGCGUAAAGGGCGCGUAGGCGGCCAUUCAAGUCGGGGGUGAAAGCCUGUGGCUCAACCGCAGAAUUGCCUUCGAUACUGUUUGGCUUGAGUUUGGUAGAGGUUGGUGGAACUGCGAGUGUAGAGGUGAAAUUCGUAGAUAUUCGCAAGAACACCAGUGGCGAAGGCGGCCAACUGGACCAAUACUGACGCUGAGGCGCGAAAGCGUGGGGAGCAAACAGG